UCGUUCAAGACUCUACGUCCUCAGACACCACAGACUAGAACAUAGACACUGCUCAAAAAUAAGUCCACUUCCAUCUUGAAGAUUCUGAAGUGCACAUUGAGAAAGAGCCACUGGAGCAAUAUAUGGUUGUGCGUUACAGCUCUAAUGCCCAAAUGCAUAGUGACGCAGUGAAUUUCUCUGUUGUUCUUGAGGACGAACUGGUCACCACCCACAACCAACUUCCAGAUGUUUUUCUUGUCCUGUUUGGAUUCCUGUAUGCUUUUCACGUACAUAUUCCUAAAGGACUUGCAAAAACAUUGGUAUUUGUGCAAAAAACUUUUGCUUGGCAUGGAAGAUGGGGAAACUGUCUCCUAGCCUGCAAACCUUAAAGAACGAGUUGAUGUGAAGCAUAACUUGUACUACCUCAGCACACACAAAAGACAAAAAGAGUUACUUAAAUGUUAUCUAACUGAUGUUACUUUGAUUUUUGCACUUGUAUUUACUUAGUUCUUAUUGACAAGUUAUUGUAUUAACAAACCGGUUCAGUUUAAGAAAUUGUCAUGUUUAAUGGAACUGUGUGGUGUUAAUAUAUGAAGUUGGCUGUUUAGCAUUCCUUGCUCAUUUCUCAUUUUAUAAAAUGCUGUUAAACAGUUUGAGCCUGUUAAAAGGUAUGUUGUGUUGCUAAGAGAAUUUAAUUUUUGACUGAAAAAUAUGAAAUGCUGUUAAACAGUUAUGUUACCUUGAACCCAUUAAAAGGGUAACUUUACUUUUGUGGGUUGCUUAACAGACUUUAAUUUUUGACUGCAGAUUGUAUCACAUUUGUAAAUUUAAGAGAGAUGUUUAAUGCAACUGUCUCAUGCUAGUUUAAAUGUAUGAAAUUUGCUGUGGAGCAAUCCUUUUGUGAAAUAAAUUGCCAAAAUUU